rnacentral:rRNA from 1 species
AGAGUUUGAUCCUGGCUCAGAUUGAACGCUGGCGGCAUGCUUUACACAUGCAAGUCGAACGGCAGCACGGGUGCUUGCACCUGGUGGCGAGUGGCGAACGGGUGAGUAAUGCACCGGAACGUACCCAGUAAUGGGGCAUAACACAUCGAAAGAUGUGCUAAUACCGCAUACGCCCUGAGGGGGAAAGCGGGGGAUCGUAAGACCUCGCGUUAUUGGAGCGGCCGAUGCCGGAUUAGCUAGUUGGUGAGGUAAGAGCUCACCAAGGCGACGAUCCGUAGCUGGUCUGAGAGGACGACCAGCCACACUGGGACUGAGACACGGCCCAGACUCCUACGGGAGGCAGCAGUGGGGAAUUUUGGACAAUGGGCGCAAGCCUGAUCCAGCCAUGCCGCGUGAGUGAAGAAGGCCUUCGGGUUGUAAAGCUCUUUCGCAAGGAAAGAAAACUUAUCUACUAA